rnacentral:lncRNA from 1 species
GGACUGAGCGAGUUGUCCAUCACGACAGAAACAUUGUUGGAAGUAAGUGAUAUACUUGGGAGUUCAUUGGAGACCUCUAAGUGGAAAAUAUCUUCUGUUAUUCCAGAUGGGAGAAACGGCGAUGCCUGAGAACAUGCAGCAAUUUCAGGUCCAACCUUUUCAAUAUUCAUACGAGCAUAACACAAAUAUUGUAAAUUAUUCAAGCUUGAAUGGUUUUAAAACCAACCCUUGCAGACAUAAAAGAUCAGACAACUGUCCAUGAUCAUUGGCAGCCUAUAACUUAAAAGUUCAGUAGAACAUCAAUUUAUUAUAUAGUAAUUAUUUUACAUAGCUGAAUGCUGUAAUCCUUAAGAGUUCUCAUGAUGUCGUAUAGAAGACCUUUAUGGUCUUGGCAAACAAUCUGAACAAGCGUGUGAGCAGGACUGAGCGAGUUGUCCAUCACGACAGAAACAUUGUUGGAAGUAAGUGAUAUACUUGGGAGUUCAUUGGAGACCUCUAAGUGGAAAAUAUCUUCUGUUAUUCCAGAUGGGAGAAACGGCGAUGCCUGAGAACAUGCAGCAAUUUCAGGUCCAACCUUUUCAAUAUUAAAGUUAAUCACAAUGCGCUGCAUAAUAUCUUCCAACGCUUUAUAAGUCUCCUCCUGCCUUAUUUUCGUAUGUAAUAGCUCCC